CACAGUUGUAGGGUAAUUUUGUACACAUGUCACUCCCAUAUUCAACCUUAGCAAAUCCUACAUGGAAAAAGACAAAAAAACUACUUCAUUUGGCCGAAAUUUGAAAUUGUAUUUACCUCCUUCAUAUGUUGACGAAAUGGGCCAACAUAUACCAGGCCAAUGCUAUCCGGCCCAACUUGAUCCAGUCCAUUUCAGGCCAAACAAAAAAACUCCUUCCCCAAGAAGCAUGUUUGACGCGUCUCUUUUCAUUAUUUUUCAAAUCCAUGCAACUUCUUCUUCUUCUUCUCAGAAGCAGCCGUCCCUUUCAUUCUUAGCAAAGGAACAGUGUCAAGUCACUUUCAUUACCAACAAAUGUCUGACAAUGUCCGACUAUCAUCAACCCAUGGAAAUUGAAAAUCAGAUUCUCAAAUUUCAAAUUUCAAACUCUCUCUCUCUCUCUCUAAACACCAAAGUUUCUUCACUUCAUGAACUCGAUUUUCCUUCCAAAGAAGAAUCCCAUGGAUAUUGCUGGGCCGAUUUUCAUUCUAACGGAGCAGGUAAUUUCAAACUCUUACUCUUCGUUUUUUGAAAUCCCCAAUUUUCUUCAAUCAACUUUAAAUCCCUAAUUUUCUAAUCCCUCUUUUUAUUUUAUUUUUUCAAAUUCUCUCAUCAAAUGGAAAGAAUUUCAUUCUGAAACCCGAUUCGUGUUCUCCCAAAAGUGUUAUAUAUUUAAGCUCGAGUUGUUGUCUGGAAGUCUGCAGCAAAGAAGAUGAAGAGAAAUAUGAAGAAGCAACACGCACCAUGAAGGCAGCGGCAACCUCAAACUUAUAAAACUCUGCAUCAAUUCCAAGUGAAACCUCAAAAUGAUGGUGGACACAAUUUUUUGUUCAAGAUUCAAGUUAAAUUGUGUGAAGGGUAUCCAACGAUUUCGAUCUCUUGUGGUAAAUUCAAAGAUUUGAGUAAUCCAAAGGUUUCACUUCUUGAAAUUUGCCGGAGUUUGAAUUCUAAAUAUUGAAGAUGUUAGACCAAUGCAAGGAAAUAAUGGGGUAUGAUUUAGAAGAAAACAAUAGAGAAUAUGCUAGAAUGCUUGGAUUAUUCUGGUUUUUCAAUGUCAAAAUGAAAUAAUGAUUGAAUUGUCUUCAAAUAUCUGAUUUUCAUUUCAAUUUUAGUUCAUGGCUUGAAGGGAAUUUCUAUGGAAAUUGAUUUAAUGUACAGUUUAGCAUUGUAUGCAUGACUAUAUUUUCAUUUCAAAUAUCUGAUUUGUCCCUGUUUAUUGAAUUUCUUGUGGAUUGAUUCUAUGUUCUCUCAUUCAACUCAUGGCUUUGUAGUAUUAUUUUUCACAGUUGGUAAGUUACUUAUGCAUAUAUUUAUUUUUAGUAUUAGUAUUUUGUACUGAUAUUAUACAUGAAAUGUUGAUUGAUGUAGAAACCAAUUCUUAUGUUAGUUUUGAGAUGUCAUUGAUAUUACAUUUCAUUGCAUCAGUACUAGCUUUUAUUUCACAUUUCAUUUCUUUUAUGUGAUUUUCUUUAAUUUGAGUAAGCGACAGAUGUAUAGUGCUAAUUAAAUAUAAUUUUCAAAGUUGGAUCCUUUACUGCUGUAAAGGCAGACAAACAGGGGUAAAAGCUUAAUUGUUUUGCUAAUGAUAAUUUUUCAUGUUUCAAAUCAUAUCAUUUAAGAAUUUUGCUUAUUUAUCUUUGUACUACAAAUUGAUUUUUGCAUUAGUAUUGUUGUUAUCGAGGAUUAGUGUUCACUUUGCUAGAGGAAUUCACUAUAUCAUGAAUUACAAUAGCAUUGUUCGCUGCGAUUGAAUUUGAUUGAAAUUUGUUUCAAUUGAUUGUUUAUUUGUUUCAUUCUUUUACCUUGAGUUAUAUUUUCAGAAGUGGAGGUUACACUUCUUAAUAUCUUAUUUUUCCGUCAAACAAGAUGAUUCAUACGUUGACAUCUAUAUAUCAAGAUGAUUCACACCCACCACUUAACCUCUGCAAAUCUCUUGUUUCUAUUGGUUAAGAAGAUUACACAAUGCAAGUAUAGCUAAAGUGGGGAAUAUUUAUCUGUUUAUAAGAUGUGAAGGGAAGCUAUUAGCAAGUUUGAAUAUUCAGAGAAUUUCCUGUUUCAAGUUUGAAUGCAAGCUGUUUUUUUUUAUUUUGAACACAAAUCAUACACUCUAUUGAUAGUUUAUUGAUUAAAGUGAUGACAUGGUGCCAUUGGCCUUCCUUUACAUUGUGUGAGUAGAUAUCUUGCUAUAGAUUUCUAUGUUUAGCUUGCACUAGAUUUUGUGAUGCUAUAGCAAGAUAUGAGUAGGAAUUUCUCAAAGUUAUUGAGUCACCAUUGGUAUGAGAGCAAUUGUACACUAAGAUAGUUAGUUUUGGUUGUAAGAUUUUAGGUAUUAAUUCUAAUUCUAAAUUAUAACAGACAUGAAUUUUGUUAUCAUGUGUUUCACUGCCAUAAUCUACCAUGUUAGUUAUAA